UACGUAGGCAGCGAGCGUUGUUCGGAGUUACUGGGCGUAAAGCGUGCGUAGGCGAUGGCCCAAGCCUGGUGUGAAAUCUCCCGGCUCAACCGGGAGGGUGCGCCGGAAACUGGGUCGCUCGAGUACUGGAGAGGCAAGCGGAAUUCCUGGUGUAGCGGUGAAAUGCGUAGAUAUCAGGAGGAACACCCGUGGUGUAGACGGCUUGCUGGACAGUCACUGACGCUGAGGCACGAAAGCGUGGGGAGCAAACAGG
rnacentral:rRNA from 1 species